rnacentral:rRNA from 1 species
UACGUAGGGGGCGAGCGUUGUCCGGAUUUAUUGGGCGUAAAGAGCGUGUAGGCGGCCAGGUAGGUCUGCUGUGAAAACUCGAGGCUCAACCUCGAGACGUCGGCGGAAACCAUCUGGCUAGAGUCCGGAAGAGGAGAGUGGAAUUCCUGGUGUAGCGGUGAAAUGCGCAGAUAUCGUAAGGAAGACCAGUGGCGAAGGCGGGUCUCUGGACAGUUCCUGACGCUGAGGCACGAAGGUCAGGGGAGCAAACGGG